CAUGUCAUCAAAUCCGGGCCCUGUUAAUCACACUAAAAAAAAUAAAUAAGAAAUUUAUUUUUUAGGGUAACAUAAUUUUCGCAGCCCCUUAAACCCAAUAUCACUUUGAAUAGAAGCGUUUUCAAGUUAGAAAUGUAUAAGCAUUACAAUGAAUACAAGUAUCAACAUGAAGAGUGUACUUGGCUGAGCUAUGUCAACAGAAUUGACGAAGACAGAUUCACUAGGACUAUAAGGGAUAUGAAAUCUGAGAGUACUAUAGAAAACUGUCAACACAAUUCUAACUUUGAAGUUACACAUGUCUGAAUGAACAGAUAUAUAAGUUGUGUUCUUGCUGUAGAUACUUUUUAUCAAAUCUGUCAGCUUCAAACGGCUAUUUCGUCCUGUGUCAACAGAGACAGCCUGCAUUCUCAGCUCCUGUUUGAGGUUUUGUGUUGAGAAGGAUGGCAGCACUUCCACGUCAAACAAUGCAGGAUCUACACAUGGGUCGCAUGGACCAUGUAGCUUGUUCGGCGUGUCACCUCUGCCCUAGUCUUCCAGUAAUGGCGGUCCAGUUUGUGAGCAUCACUGUGGGAACGAUCUAACAAACACAUGUGCAGCACUAAGCUUUCCACAACUUUACAUUCCUUCAUAGUUUCAUACACAAGAAUUGGAAAAGCAGUAUACACAAACACAUAUCCAGAAGCUGAAAUCUGUAUUGCACAAAACAGUAUCAGUGCUUGCCUCUCCAGAAAGUUAAAAAGAAAGGAAAAGUUACAGGCCAUCUGCGUGUGAUGUUGAGUU